rnacentral:rRNA from 1 species
AGUGAACGCUGGCGGUAGGCCUAACACAUGCAAGUCGAACGGCAGCACAGUAAGAGCUUGCUCUUACGGGUGGCGAGUGGCGGACGGGUGAGGAAUACAUCGGAAUCUACUUUUUCGUGGGGGAUAACGUAGGGAAACUUACGCUACUACCGCAUACGACCUACGGGUGAAAGCAGGGGAUCUUCGGACCUUGCGCGAUUGAAUGAGCCGAUGUCGGAUUAGCUAGUUGGCGGGGUAAAGUCCCACCAAGGCGACGAUCCGUAGCUGGUCUGAGAGGAUGAUCAGCCACACUGGAACUGAGACACGGUCCAGACUCCUACGGGAGGCAGCAGUGGGGAAUAUUGGACAAUGGGCGCAAGCCUGAUCCAGCCAUACCGCGUGGGUGAAGAAGGCCUUCGGGUUGUAAAGCCCUUUUGUUAGGAAAGAAAAGCAGCAGGUUAAUACCCCGCUGUUCUGACGGUACCCAAAGAAUAAGCACCGGCUAACUUCGUG